rnacentral:tRNA from 1 species
CACUAAGAAGCUAUAAGGAACAGCGACAGCCUUUUAAGCUGUAGUUUGGUGAUUACCGACCACCCUUAGUGA